UGACUUUGUUCUAAGUCAAACGUUUCUAACUUUGACCAAGAUUAUAAAAAAUAUAUUAACAUCUAUAAUACCAAAUAAAUACACUAUCAAAAUAUAAUAAAUACACUAUCAAAAUAUAUUCCGUAGUGGAUUCAAUAACACUAAUUUGAUGUUGUAGAUGCUUUUGCUUUUUUCUAUAAACUUGGUUAAAGUUAAAUAAGUUUGACUUAGGACAAAUACAA
rnacentral:pre_miRNA from 1 species